UACGUAGGGUGCGAGCGUUAAUCGGAAUUACUGGGCGUAAAGCGUGCGCAGGCGGUUUUGUAAGCCAGAUGUGAAAGCCCCGGGCUUAACCUGGGAAUGGCAUUUGGGACUGCAAGGCUUGAGUGCGGCAGAGGAGACUGGAAUUCCUGGUGUAGCAGUGAAAUGCGUAGAUAUCAGGAGGAAUACCGAUGGCGAAGGCAGGUCUCUGGGCUGACACUGACGCUCAUACACGAAAGCGUGGGGAGCAAACAGG
rnacentral:rRNA from 1 species